ensembl:lncRNA
CCGAGGAACAGUGGGUUAACUGCCUUGUUCAGGGGCAGAACGACAGAUGUGUACCUUGUGAUUGGAUGGAAUGAGGGUGUGGAUAGAAGGUGGCUAGAGAGAGAGAAAUGGAGAGGGAUGGAUGGAGAGAGAGAGAUGGAGGUGGGUAGAGAGACUUGAGAUGGAAGUGAAGAUGGAGAGAGGGAUGGAGGUGGAUGGAGAGAGAGAUGGAGGUGCAUGGAGAGAGAGAUGGAGGUGCAUGGAGAGAGAGAUGGAGGUGGAUGGAGAGAGAGAUGGAGGUGGAUGGAGAGAGAGAUGGAGGUGGACAGAGAGAGAGAGAUGGAGAUGGAUGGAGAGAGAGAUGGAGGUGGACGGAGAGAGGGAGGUGGAUGGAGAGAGAGAGAUGGAUGGAGGUGG